rnacentral:lncRNA from 1 species
CGGUGCAUGCUGGGAGAGAACACAGGUAAUGGGGGGACACGGUGCAUGCUGGGAGAGAACACAGGUAAUGGGGGGACACGGUGCAUGCUGGGAGAGAACACAGGUAAUGGGGGACACGGUGCAUGCUGGGAGAGAACACAGGUAAUGGGUGGACACAGUGCAUGCUGGGAGAGGGGGAAACAGAAUAGUUUAUUACUGCAGGGUUUCUAUCUGUCGAUCAGCCAAUAUAUUUCUUCAGCUACAUAUAGAGAUUGAAUAACUUACUGCUUUUCAGGUGACCUUGAAGGCACAGAUCAGUGGCCUGGCCCAUCGGGGGCCCGGGAAAUUUCCCCGUGGGCCGUCAGCACCUGGGGCUGGGCGGCCGCAGGGGGAGCUGUGCGGUCUCUGCUCCCCCGCCCUCGGGCUCUACUUAAUGAGACCGGGGCUGGAAUAUGAUGUCAUAUUCCAGCCCCGUUUUCAAUAAGCUGCACGCUGGAGAGCAGAGCAGAGACUGCACAGCUCCCCCUGCGGCCGCCAUCACAGACAGCUGUCUGCCCACAGGUAGUAAUUAUGUGUCAGUAUUAGUGUAUGUGUUUGUCUGUGUCAUGGUGUGUGUGUGUGUGUGUCUGUCAUGGUGUGUGUGUGUGUCUCUGUGUCAUGGUGUGUGUGUGUCUGUCAUGGUAUGUGCAGGGCAAACAGGGCAGCUGCCCGGGGCCCAGUUACUCAUGGGGGGCCCAAAGCCAGUGACCAAACCCAUGGACUUCAGCACCUGAUAUAAUCAGAGACUCCCUGGCUGUGUGUGUGUGUCACUGUGUGUCACUGUGUGCAUCUGUGUGUGUGUGUGUAUCUGGCUGUGUGUGUCACUGUGCAUCUGGCUGUGUGUGGGUGUACAUAUCUAUGUAAGCGUGUAUCUUUGUGUGUGUAUGUGCUAGUGUAUCUGUGUGUCAAGGUGUGUGCAUGUAUCAGUGUGUUUGUGUGUAACUGUGUGUUAAUGUGUAUGUAUAUCUGUGUUAGUAUGUAUGUGCAUACAUCCCUGCAAACACAAACAUUACAUACAAACCACCCCUUCACUCAAACCAACUCUACACACAAAAGCACACUUGCAUUUAAAAGCCACUACAUUCAAACACAAACACUACACACAAGUACACCACUCAAUUCCAAUAGUAGCAGUACAUACAAAUACACCCCUACAUGCACACACAUACUCUAUACAAAAACAUGCUUGCAUUCAAAUGCACAAACACUGCUCACAAAUACAACCCUACAAGAAUGGCCAAAUGGUAGAUCCCCAGCUGGCAUAGUAUUGUGGGAGUUGUAUGACAGCUGGGGAUCUAUAUUUUCUCUACUCUUGGACUAGAGGGGAGGCCACAAAAAUUAUUGCACCAGGGCCCUUUCUACAUUAGUUCCAUCAGUAGGUUGGAGGCUGUGAUUGCAUGCAGGGAGCUGGGGGUUGGGAGAGGUGGGGCAUGGUCCAGGGGGCCCAAGCAAAUGCUUGCCCAGGGUCCAAUCACUAUUAAAGACAGCCUGGGUAUGUGUGUGUCUGUCAUGGUGUAUGUGUGUGUUUUUUUAAAAAUAGUGUUUUUACUCACCUUUUUUCUUUUCCCCCACGCUGUGCUGGUCUCCCCUCGACUGGCCCUGCCUCUAUGGCUGGAACCAUACGAACGCUGUAAACAGCCGUAUAGGAAAAAAACAUACAAAAGGUUUACACUCCUAGCAGUCGAACUGGAACAGCGUACAAUAAAUCCCCCCAAGAACGAGACAAAGCACCGUGUUGAGGGUCAAGCAGUGAACAGACAGAGCUGUGUCUUUAUUGUUCUUAUAUACACAUUCUUACACAUUAGUACCACCCACAGGGUUUUGGAAAACAACCAAUAAACACGUACAAUACACUCAGACACUCCCACACAAACUCCUCCCCUUUGCCUGUGAUACAAUUAUCUUACACAAUGGGUAAUGUAAUUGUCACAGGCAGAGAAACAGUUUUUCCACAUUAUUAAGAAUUUUAAAAGUAUGCCUCACAUUCACAUACCAAUUGGUCCAGUGGUUCAAAAGAUAGAUCGUAGUCCUUUGUGACCAAAAGAAGCAUGGCUUUUCUGCCCAAAACCAGUUCCACAGAGUCUUCUAUCCUGGAGAUAAUUGGGAAGUAAUCCAAUUAUCUCCAAGGACAUAGGAAAAACUCCAUUGAACACAUGGCAGCAAAAGACAAUAAAAUACAUAAAAAUAUAUAGCUGUGCAGCCAUUGCAUAAAACAGGUACAUUCAACAUAUCCCCAGAUAGCUCAGAUCUGAGCGCACAUUAUUACUGAAUGGUGCUCAGAUAACACACAUACAGUAUAAUUGCCAUGGAGCCAAAGUCUUUCCCAUAGUCUUUCAUUAUACGAAUGGGCUCCAUGGUAUAGCUAUCUGGGGUAUCACCGCUCAAACAGGGCAAGCACCGAAUGACCCGGCUUUCGUGUCUUUGCAGGGGAAAAUCAAGCAUUUCGACAUGGGGCCAUAGUCUAAAGGGAGCAGGCGGGCAACCAUGCUCCUCCAAUGCACUGUGGCGAGAUUGCUCUCGUCACAUCUCUCCCCUUUUCCAGACAGACUAACAGGGUAUCUGACCUCAUGCCGGUCAAUGCCCUGGUUAGUCCAGCAGCCCACCCCCGAAGCACAAACAGCAGUACAGCCCACCCACAAUAACUGGUUACUACACCUGGGUAGAGGAGAAACUUGUCCUUGUUCAGGUUCCUCACCACGGCUAUGUGGGGGACUGGUAGGCUGAAUGGGAAGAGACCAGCGGUACUCUGCCCUGGUGCCAGUGCUACCGUGGAAGUAGCCUGGUUGGAGCCUGGUUGUGGGAGGGGGAGACUGAUUGUCUCCCCUUUGGAUACACAGCUCUGCUGCUGGAGGGGGAGACAGACUGUCUCCCCUUUAGAUACACAGCUCUGCUGCUGGAGGGGGAGACCGGCUGUCUCCCCUUUGGAUACACAGCUCUGCUGCUGGGGGACAGGACCGACCGUCCCUUUCCCCUGUGCUGUAAGUGCAGAGACCACGGUCCCAUCUGCACGGUUGUGGGGCUUACGGUCUCCCCUGGGUAUGUCAAGCUGCCGCUGGGGAGAGGGGGUAACAAGCUCCUCUCCCAUACAUACUUCCAGCCGCGGGGAAGGGAGACCGACUGUCUCCGCUCCCAAUACAGAGUCCUGCUGCUGGGGAAAGGAAACUGGUCUCUCUAUUCCCUGUAGGACACUCUGCCGCUGGGGAAUGGAGACUGAGCUCCCAAUUCCCUGUAACACACGUUGCUGCUAGGGGACAGGACCCACUGUCUCUGCCCCCUGUAACUCAGCCUGCCGCUGGGGAAAGGAGACUGGGCUCUAAAUUCACUGCAGAUCACACUGCCGCUGGGGAGAGGGGGUAGUAAGCUCAUCUCCCAUACAUACUUCCAGCCUCUGGGGAGGGAGACUGACUGUUUCCGCUCCCAAUACAGUGUCCUGUUGCUGGGGAAAGGAGACUGGGCUCUCUAUUCCCUGUAGGACACUCUGCUGCUGGGGGACAUGACCAACUGUCUCUGCCCCCUGUAACUCAGCCUGCUGCUGGGAAAUGGAGACUGGGCUCUCAAUUCCCUGCAGGACCGGUGGAGAGACCUCGGUCCCAUCUCCACCAGCCACCUGGGGUUCUUCCCAGCAAAACUCUACUAUCUCGUCCCAGCUGAAUGGGUCUGGCUCUGGGUCUGUCACUCUGCUCUCCUGCUGAGCCUUCUCACUGGAGUGGAACAGCUGCUGGUAGCCCUGUUCCAGCUCGAUCUCCCGGGUCACCAGGUAGACCAGGUCUUGCUCAAUCUCGUGAGUGUCGUCCCAGUCAUACCUGCUCUCCCUCCACUCAAAGAGAUCACGGAAGUGUAGUGCUCCCAAACUCAGGCUCUGAAAAAGUCUCCCAUAACAAACCAGGACCAUCAAACUUCUCUCCCUCUGGCUUGUCAUACUCGGCUGUCCAGGGCAGGUACUGUGCCCCAUACCACCAGAGCGCCUGGUAGGCAUCUUCAAGCCACAUCUCCUGCCAUACCCGGAGCUCCAAUUCCUUCACCCAUUUCUCCAGGGGCUGCUCUCCCAGGAAGGGCAUCCACAGGGCUAGUCGCUUCUGCAAUUGCUGGUCUUCCUUAGGGAGUCUCUCGCCCCGCUGGUACUCCGCAAUACCCAGUGCCUGGUACCAGAUGCCUUUUCGGACUGCAUCUCGGUCAUCCAUGACACCCUCAUUGUACUCCACUGCUGGUUCCAUCCCAGUGCUGUCAGGGUCGCUGUACUGGGACAUGCGUUGCCCUCAAGUUGUAAAAUCCACGUAAUGGUGUCUCCUGUAGCUGUCCUUCUGGCUGUAGGAACGAUCCCGCCGCUUGCCACCAAUUGUUAUGGCACGCCCAGGCAUAAAAGGGUUAAACCGCCGUUUAGAGGAUAUUCCCUUCCAGAUAUACAGGCAGCUACUGUAGACACCAAACCACCGAACCGGACAAGCAUAUGAAUGCCGUAAACAACCGAAUCUGAACCAUACGAACACUGUAAACAGCCGAAUAGGGAAAAAAAAACAUACGAAAGGUUUACACUCCUAGCAGUCGAACUGGAACAGCAUACAAUAAAUCCCUCCAAGAACGAGACAAAGCUCCGUGUUGAGGGUCAAGCAGUGAACAGACAGAGCUGUGGGUUUAUUGUUCUUAUAUACACAUUCUUACACAUUAGUACCACCCACAAGGUUUUGGAAAACAACCAAUAAACACGUACAAUACACUCAGACACUCCCACACAAACACCUCCCCUCUGCCUGUGAUACAAUUACUUUACACAUGGGUAAUGUAAUUAUCACAGGCAGAGAAAUACAGUUUUUCCACAUUAUUCAUAAUUUUAAAAGUAUGCCCUGCCCACAGGGUUUUGAAAUACAACCAAUCAAUCCGUACAAUACACACAGACACUCCCACACAAAAUCAUCCCCUCUGCCUGUGAUAUGAUUACUGAACACAAUGGUUAAUAUAAUUAUCACAGGCAGAGAAAUACAGUAUUAUAAAACAUAUCACAGGGACCCCAAAACAUGCAAUAACCCCAUAAAAUAUAUCCUCGGAACUGGGGGAUCUGGGUGAACCACAUAUCCAAAAUUCACCCAGAUCCGUUCAGUAGUUUGGAAGAUACAGUUUAAUGCAGAUUCUGCAGAACAUAUACAGGCUAUAUGAAAAAUAAUUACUGUAUAAUGUGUCCCCUGUUGUAUAGUUUAAAACUACUGCACGAUGUCUUUGUGCACCAAAUACCGGUGAGAUGGCACCGUGUAGAAAAGUCCAAACAGUGUCUGUGAGUUAAAAUGGCCGCCAUCCAUUGUUCUCACCAUGUGCCUCUGAUACAUGAAAUGGUGGCCACCCAGUAACUCCACAGUAUGUCCCCAGAUGGUUCUUAAAGGUCCAGCAGCAGCACAACACAAAUCCAUUAUGCCCAAAUCAUGUCUUUAAAGGGGCCAUAGUCACAUGGCAGGAGGCUGGCAAUCAGUCUUCUCCAAUGCCCAGUGGCGAGGUCGGUUUCGCCAGACCCCCUCCCAGGGGCCUGUGCAUGUGACAAGAACUGCAGUCCCUUUGUCCCCAGUUCCCGCCACCCAUCCUCAGGGUUUCCCACCUCCAGGGACCAGGACUUUUUAUCCCAUGAGCCUCUGUACCUGGGAGUCCCAGCGCGAGAAAGCUUCCCACCUCUGUGACUCUCAGCCACAGAAAGCCCGCCAAACCUCCUUUGUCCCCAAGAGAGUGUCCCCACCAAUCUCAGGGAUCCCCCCGAACGGUAACUGCCUCGUGGAUUCCCUGGGUGAAACCAGGCAAGGGAAGUGUCUCCUUUUGGGACACGAAUGCUCUCCCUGGCCGCCGUUCGUCUAUACAAUCAUUAAUUACUUCCCUUGAGGUUUCACACUUAUCUUGCCAGUUGCCAACCUUCUUAAUGAUUGGUGUGAACAUUACAAGGGGCACUGGGGAGGUCCUCGUUCGGGAACUGAACAAGGUGGGAAGCAAUCCACGAAUGCUCCCCCUAGAUGGCGUUCAUCUAACGAACGGUCCAACACUCAAGGUCGGCACACGCCGAGGUUUCCCUUGCGGAUUGUGGUUUUGACACCUCGUUACGAGGUGUGAAUAUUCUAAGAAAAUUCUAAAUGAGGGUUCGUGGUGGUCACCGUUUGGUAGGCGAACGGAACUCGUUCGUAUUGGCUCUCCCAAACACAGGAAUAUUACACAACACAGUGGAACCACAGGGAAUAACACAGAGCAAUUCACGAACAGGCAGCAGUACCGUCACAGGGGGCACAGGUAAUGGGAUAGGGGGAGAAAGGGGGUUCACAGGUAAUAACUGCUGGGAAAGUGAGCACAAGGAGGGGCACAGGAAAUAGUUGCUGAGUGAGGGGGAGCACAGGUAAAUUUUUUUAUAUAUAUAUAUAUAUAGUUGCUGCUCUCUGUAUUAUUAUUGAUAUUUAUAAGAAGUGGGGAUUUAACAAUAAAUGGGACAAGUACAACAUUAUACAGGAACAAUCGGUAGAUGAGGACCCUUCUUAGACAAGUUUGUUAAUCUAGACACAGUGACUUAUUACCAGCAUAUAUUAUUACACUGUACAGUUGCUUCUCUCUGUAUUGUGAUAUAUUACCAGCAUAUAUCAUUACACUGUACAGCUGCUUCUCUCUGUAUUGCGAUAUAUAACCAGCAUAUAUCAUUACACUGUACAGUUGCUUCUCUCUGUAUUGCGAUAUAUAACCAGCAUAUAUCAUUACACUGUACAGUUGCUUCUCUCUGUAUUGUGAUAUAUUACCAGCAUAUAUCAUGACACUGUACAGCUGCUUCUCUCUGUAUUGCGAUAUAUAACCAGCAUAUAUCAUUACACUGUACAGUUGCUUCUCUCUGUAUUGUGAUAUAUUAUCAGUGUAGCGGAGAGCUGGUAUUACACAGCCUAUCUCUACUUUAGAUACGAGGGGCUGUUCGGUAGUUUGGAACCGAACGGACCGGCUUGUGGAGAUCUCAGCGGUGUUCGCCUAGUCGAGUGUCCGAUUUGACUUCCAGACACUCGACGGCAAAACACCGCUGUUCGGGCGUUUUAAAAUGGCCGCCGCCACGUGUUCGUUUCCCGAAUGGCGACCACCCCCGAAAACAAAGGACUGCUACUCAGCUUGUCAAUUACCCGUUCGCAACAAUGUUGCAACGGGUAAUUGAAGGCACACUUCACACUGGGGAGGUCUGACACUGGGGAGGUCUAAGGGAAUGAAACUACCGAACAAUCAGACGAAUACAAUACAUUUAACACAUAUAACUUUGCCAUUUACACGGAUGCAUUCAAAACAUAUGUAAUUCUCCCUCCCAGUGUUCCCGGAUAAGAUCCAGGAGUCCCCUUACUCUCCGCCCAAAUAGUAACUCAAAUGGGGAGAAUCCUGUCGAUUCCUGUGGCACCUCCCUGUAGGCAAACAGGAGAUGCAGCAAAAACCGUUCCCAGUCCCUAUGGGUGUCGGCAAAAGUGCGCAGCAUUUGUUUCAAGGUCCCAUUGAACCUUUCGCAUAGCCCAUUGGUCUGGGGGUGGUAUGGGGCGCUAAUAAUCGAUUUGAUGUCACAAAAUUUCCAGAGGCUCUGGGUGACUUCCGCAGUGAACUGGGUACCCUGAUCCGAGAUUAUCUCUCUGGGUAACCCCAUCCGAGUGAAAAUCUGCAUCAGGGCCUCAGCCACGGUUUCUGCCUGUAUGUUAGUCAGGCCAAUCGCCUCUGGAUAUCGGGUGGCAUAAUCCACUACAGUUAAGAUAUACCUUUUCCCAGAGGGGCUGGGUUUUUUCAGGGGUCCUAUUAUAUCCACUGUUACUCUGCUGAACGGUUCCUCUAUUAUGGGUAGCGGGUGCAAUUUUGCCUUCCGCCGGUCCCCUCUCUUCCCUACCCUUUGGCAUGUGUCGCACGUGUUGCAGUACCUGCGGACUUCCUGACUAAUUCCCGGCCAAAAGAAACUCUGGGUCAGUCGCUGCCGGGUGCGACUGACUCCUAAAUGGCCGGAUAGCGCACGAUACCGUUGGGGUACCACUAGCUGCCUCAUCACAAUAGGGUCUGACAUCGGAUUGUCAAACUCCCUGUAUAGCAACUGGUUAUCUCAUACAAAUCUUUCGCCCUCCUCUCCCAGCUGGUCUGAGGUGACUUUGUCUCUAUAGACCUGUAAGGUGGGGUCGGUGGCUACUUCAGCCGCAAAUUAAUUAGGGGGAGCCCAAGGGGUACAUUCUAAGGUAGGGGAAGGAUCUCUUACCUGGACCUCCGGGAGUGUGUUGUAGUCCUGUGUGCCUCUAUGGUCGGUGGGGCCUGGGGUUCAAAUGCAGACGUCAGUUUGCCCAGAUCGUUCCCCAACAAAACCUCCGCUGGCAGCUGGGGCAUCAACCCCACCUCCACAUUCACAAACCCCGCUCCCCAAUGUAAAUGUACCCGAGCUGUGGGUAGCCGGUAUACUGCUCCCCCAGCUACCCUGACUGCUACUGUUCUGCUGGUCUUGGCCUGGUCAGGUACCAGGUGACUUUUAACCAGUGUGAUGGUGGCUCCUGAAUCGCGGAGCCCCUGGACUGCUUUCCCCUCCAAGUACACAGUGUGUCUAUGAUGCUGGCGGUUGUCAGUAUUAGCUUGCACAGGAUCCGCUUCAUGCAAUACUUCCCAUUGUUCCACUGUGUUUAUGGGAAUUGCGGUGCCAUAUGGUCUUGUUGCCUCUGCUUGGUAGUAGUGGGCUGCCUGUCGAGGUGGUGAGGGUAGUCCGGGCCUGAUCCAGGUGGAGCGAUCUUUUAGCUGCGGGCAUUCCCUCUUAUAAUGUCCCCAGCGUUGGCAAUGGUGGCACUGUACAGAGCUAGUUGGUCGAGGUUUCUGUUGUACACUAGCGGGUGGAUAAGGAGGUAGUUGUCGUGGUGGCGGUGCGGUGUGGUGUUGGGGUAUGGGCUGUUCCCCCCCUAGGGGUCUGAUAACCAUCUUGAUGGGGGCUGGUUUUUGCUGUCUGCGGGCAUCCAGGUACUCAUCCGCCUUUUUAACUGCUUCUGUGAGGGACUUCGGAUUGCGGUCUCUCACCCAUUCCUGUAUAUCAUUCUGGAUGCCCUCAUAGAAUUGCUCCAAUAGCAACAUUUGUAACAAGUCCUCCAUAGACCGAGCUUUAUUGGACUGUACCCACCCCAGGGCGGCCCGAUGUAGCUUGCAGGCCCAUUCCACAUGAGAGUCCUUGUCAUUUCUUUUUAACUCUCUAAAUCGCGGCCGAUAUGCCUCGGGCGUGAUUGCAUACUGGGCCAGGAUCACCUGUUUUACCCUGUGGUAAUUCCGAAUUUCCUCAUCUGGUACAGUUCUAUAUGCUUCAGCAGCCUUUCCAGUGAGCUUCCCUGAUAAAAUAGGUACCCAUUCCUCUGGACUAAUAUUAUGCAGUGCACACAGUCUCUCAAAAUCUUGGAGAAAAGCAUCUAUGUCCUCCUCUGCUUCUACAUAUGUUUUAAAUGCUUGGUAAGGUAUCUUUGUCUUACCCUGUGUGAUGGUAGUGGUGGUAGCAUUCCUCUCCAGAUUCUGUAGUGGCCUUUGGCGCAGUAUAAACUCCUGCACCUCUGUCAUUGUCCUGGAUAUAAUAUCCGCCGUUGGAUUCUCUCCAUAAAAGGACAGCCUAAACCACAGCUGUCUCUGGAACUCCUCUUGCUCAGAUCCAUCUGCUGAACUCCGCUGCUCAGGGAUCGCCCUGUCCUCAUUCUGGUAUUCUGCCAUCACCUCUGCAAUGAGGGUUGCUUUCCUUUUGUUGCUUGCUGCAAUACCUUUCGCUUCUAGGAGAUCUUUUAGCAUGGAUCUUUUAAGCUUCGCAUAAUCACUCUCUAUCCGUAUUCCAUUAGUGCUUGUUCCCUUGUGAGUCUGAAUCCCAGCGCUGCCAACCAAUGUAGCGGAUAACUGGUAUUACACAGCCUAUCUCCACUUUAGAUCCCAGGGAGGUUCAGGAACAAGCAAUUAUAAAUCCAUAGGGUAAAGUAUUCAGCAGGCAAAAUAACACAGCAGUAUCCCAACAGCAAUCCCAAUAACUGGAUGACACACAGUAUCAGGAGCAGAACUAAAGAUUUAUUCAGACAGUGGCCUUAUAAAGCCUGCUCCCAUGCAAGGGAGGGAUUUCCAUUAAUUUGUACAGUAGCCAAUCCUGCUCUGGUAACCUCCCACACAUCUCCUCCCCUCAGCCUGCAUCAUAAUCCCAUUAUCCAGGACACCAAUACCCCCCUUUCUGGGGGUACCACUUUAAAUUAUACAUCCCCUGGUAGCCCUGAUCUGGGUGAACAACAUAUCCAAAAAUCACCCAGAUCAGACCAGGGGUUCAGGAAAUUUAUGGAGGGAAUAAAAUGACCGACCGAACUGGAAAGAUCAGCCGAAUGGGGUUCCAUGCGAUGGGGCCCUGCGGUCGGUCCUGGAGUAAGGGAACAAACUGCACGAAAGCCUCCAGCUACAGAGACUAGGGAGGGUUCGCCUGAAUCCCCUCGUUCGGUUGUUUCUAUCUACCGAACGAGGGGCCGUUUGGUAGUUUGGAACCGAACGGACCGGGCUUGUGGAGGUCUCAGCGGUGUUCGCCUAGUCGAGUGUCCGAUUCGAGUUCCAGACACUUGUUUCCCGAAUGGCGGCCACCCCCGAGAACAAAGGACUGCUACUCAGCUUGUCAAUUACCCGUUCGCAACAAUGUUGCAACGGGUAAUUGAAGGCACACUUCACACUGGGGAGGUCUGACACUGGGGAGGUCUAAGGGAAUGAAACUACCGAACAAUCAGACGAAUUCAAUACAUUUAACACAUAUAACUUUGCCAUUUACACUAAUGCAUUCAAAACAUAUGUAAUUCUCAGGACAGCCCAGUGCCAUCCACUACAACCAGCAUAUGUCAUUACACUGUACAGCUGCUUCUCUCUGUAUAUUGCCAUAUUUACAUUCUGGUUCCCUUCCACUCCCCUGGGUAGCAGUGACUCUCUGGCAGAUGGUAACGCUCUCUCAGUGCGCUCUCUAUACAUCGAUUUCUAUGCUCUCUCAGUGCGCUCUCUAUACAUCGAUUUCUAUGCUCUCUCAGUGCGCUCUCUAUACAUCGAUUUCUAUGUUUUUGUUUUUUUGCAGUGACGGUUGACAUUGCUGCAGCGGACUACGGACUAUGUUUCCGAUGAGGCUUGGACAGGUUUGAAAACUUUGGAAGAAAAUUUGGUGGUUUUGAAGAUUCCGCAGUAGGAACCUUUGUGUAACGGUAAUCUAUGCUUAUUGUAUACUGAAAGCCUUCAUAUCCACCCUGUAAUUUGGUGAUCGAUUCUUUAACGAAGAUCUGUAGCAGCUGUGGUUUCCAGCCUGCAGAGUAUGAGGACACAGAGCAGAACUCUGUCAUUCCACAUAGAAUCGUAUCACAAUAUUCACUGCUUGUCUGUGUCCUUACAAAGGAAAUGUAUUGCAAUUCAAACCAUGUGCCAUGAUCCCACCGGGCAGGAUACCUAGCCCUUGGAAGAGAUAGGUUGCUACCCUUCCUCAUUGGUGGGAUAUUCAAGUCUUCUUGAUGAGCAUCUUAAACCACACAAUACUCACUGCGAUCCC